rnacentral:rRNA from 1 species
ACUAAAUUCUCAACGGUGGAUGUCUUGGUUCCCACAACGAUGAAGAACGCAGCGAAGUGCGAUAAGCAGUGCGAAUUGCAGAACCGUGAGUCAUCAGAUUUUUGAACGCAACUUGCGCCUUAAGAGUUCGCUCUUAGGCACGCCUGGUCCAGUGUCU